rnacentral:rRNA from 1 species
UGAGGAAUAUUGGUCAAUGGGCGAGAGCCUGAACCAGCCAAGUAGCGUGAAGGAUGACUGCCCUAUGGGUUGUAAACUUCUUUUAUAAAGGAAUAAAGUCGGGUAUUGAUACCCGUUUGCAUGUACUUUAUGAAUAAGGAUCGGCUAACUCCGUGCC